CUACAGUGGAAAACAUUUAGUAAAACUGAGGCUGCUGUACCUGGGAGAGUGAUCAUGGGCUUACUGAAUUGGAAGCUCCAGGGUAGGAGAUGGGUUUGAUUUUGACUUUUAGUGUGUGCUGGCCACCCAGGAAAGAAAUGGAUGAUUUGCAAGUAAAAAUAAAAUUAGUGAAGGUGCAGACAUUGAGGACUCCUGAGUUUGAAAAACAGGAUUGUUUCUAGAUUAUAAAUAUCAGGAAAUAGUAUUGAAGAAAUCCUCAUACAACAAAUAGGUAUCAAGACUCAAACUUCACGGCAGAUGUCAGCCAAAGCUGAAGCUGAAGGGUGUGGUCUGAGAGUAUCAGCCACUCAGCAUCACUGUGAGUAGCCGCAGAAGCAAGUGAAUGAGGCAGCAAAGACUAGCUGGGAACUUAACCAAGACUUUUGGAUUGCAUUGUUGGCAUAGGAAAUUGACAGAAAAAAAAAGCCAAAAAAAUGAACUAGGCCUAACUGCAAAAUAUUUGACUGUUCAAACCUGGAAACAACAUUUAUGCCACCAUAUUUUCAUGAGUAAGAAGAGGGCUCUAACAAGCUAGACCUUCUGUCUCUAAGUCACUUCACAUUUGGCAACAAGCCCCUGAGACCUGGAUUGUCUGGAACUUUGGAAAGGAGGCUGAGCAGAAUUCAAAAGACUUCCAUUUUGGUCCCAGUUCUUCUAAGUCGGCUGGAAAACUGAUUAUUUCAUCCAUUAAAUCUGAAACUCAGCUCUUUCUCUGUAAUGGAGAAUGGUGAAUCUAGAGACUGAAUUGCAGGGGUGCCUUCUAAAUAAAUUUAAC